rnacentral:rRNA from 1 species
UUUUAAUUAAUUUAACUAAUUUAUUUUAUUUUUUUUUUAGUAUUUUAAGAAAUAAUUUUUUAUUUUUACUGUUAAGUAUUUUAUCUAAUAAGUUAAUAUAAUUAAUUAGUACCUUUUGUAUCAGGGUUAAUUUAAUUUAUUAUUUAUUUUUUUUUCCCGAAAAAUGGAUAUCUAUAUUAAGUUUUUUUUUAUUGUUGAAUUAAUACUAAUAAUCUUAUUAUGGUAGUGAUAUUCUAUUCGCUCCUUUGUUAUAUCUGGUUAUUUAGGAUUUCAAUUUAAUUGAAAAUUAAUGUUAAUUAUUCUUGUAUUUUUUUUAAUUUUAUAUAAUUUGGGAUAAUCUUUUUUAUUAUUUAAAAUUUUUUAUAUUAAAUUAUUUUUUAUUUUAAAAUCUUUUAUUUAGUUCUUAAUAGAUUAUAAUUUAUUUUUAUGAUUUUUUUAUAUUUAUAUUUUUACUAAAUUAUUUUAGUUAAUUUUUAUUUAUAUUUAUUAAUGAUUAAAUUAGUAUAAUUUGUUACUAUAAUCUAAUUAAUUCGACAAAUUUAAUCUUCAACUGUUUAUCAAAAACAUUUCCUUUAGGUUUAUAUUAAAGGUAAAUUCUGCCCUAUGAUUAUUAAUUAAAUGGCUGCAGUAUCUUGACUGUGCAAAGGUAGCAUAAUCAUUAGUCAUUUAAUUGUUGACUUGUAUGAAUGGAUAAAUGAGGGAUUUAUUUUUUUUAUUUUAUUAUUAAAAUUUUAUUUUUAAGUAAAAAAGCUUAAUUAUUUUUUAGGGACGAAAAGACCCUAAAGAACUUCAUUAUAUUUAACUUUUUAAAUUUUUAGUUAUAUUUUUAUUAAUAUGUUAUUUAUUUUUUUAUUGGGGUGAUAAAUAAAUUUUAACUUUAUUUUGGGUUUUCAUUAAUUUAUGAUUUUUUGGAUCCUUCUUUUGGAUUAUAAGUUUUAGUUACCUUAGGGAUAACAGCGUAAUUUUAAUGGGGAGUUCAUAUUUAUAUUAAAGUUUGCGACCUCGAUGUUGAAUUAAGAUAAGUAUAAGGGGUAGGUUUUUUAUUACUAAGUCUGUUCGACUUUUAAAUUCUUACAUGAUUUGAGUUCAAACCGGUGUGAGCCAGGUUGGUUUCUAUCUUAAAACUAAUUUUCUUUAUAGUACGAAAGGACCUAGAGAAUCAAUAUUAUUUGCUAUUAUUGAAUUUUAUU